rnacentral:rRNA from 1 species
UACAGAGGUGGCAAGCGUUGUUCGGAAUUACUGGGCGUAAAGGGCGCGUAGGCGGCCAUCUAAGUCAGACGUGAAAUCCCCGGCUUAUCUGGGAACUGCGUCUGAUACUGGACGGCUUGAGUAUGGGAGAGGGAUGUAGAAUUCCAGGUGUAGCGGUGAAAUGCGUAGAUAUCUGGAGGAACACCGGUGGCGAAGGCGGCAUCCUGGACCGGCAUUGACACUGAUGAGCGAAAGCCAGGGGAGCAAACGGG